GAACAGAGAAAAUUUAUUGUAUCAUAUUUGCACUACAUCAGCAAUAAUAAGUUAAUCAUAAAUUUUAUUUUAAAAAAAAAUUUAAUAAAAAUAUUUUUUUUAUAAUCACGAUGUGAUGGAUUAAUUCAAAAAAAAUUUAUUUGAUUUAUUAGAGACACGACUUAACCAAUUUAUCCGGUGUAUUCUAAAAUUUUUCCGCUGGAUCGGACAAAAAUUACUU
rnacentral:lncRNA from 1 species